rnacentral:rRNA from 1 species
AAUAUUGGACAAUGGGGGCAACCCUGAUCCAGCCAUGCCGCGAGUGUGAAGAAGGUCAUCGGAUUGUAAAGCACUUUAAGUUGGGAGGAAGGGGUUGAAGCUAAUACCUUCAAUCUUUGACGUUACCAACAGAAUAAGCAACGGAUAAAUCUGUGACAGAAGCCGCGGUAAGACAGAGGGUGCAAGCGUUAAUCGGAAUUACUGGGCGUAAAGCGCUCGUAGGUGGUUCAGUAAGAUGGAAGUGAAAUCCCCGGGCUUAACCUGGGAACUGCUUUCAUAACUGCUGAGCUAGAGUACGGUAGAGGGUAGUGGAAUUUCCUGUGUAGCGGUGAAAUGCGUAGAUAUAGGAAGGAACACCAGUGGCGAAGGCGACUACCUGGACUGAUACUGACACUGAGGUGCGAAAGCGUGGGGAGCAAACA